rnacentral:rRNA from 1 species
AUUUACGCCAAACCGCCUGGUUCACGCCCGAUCUCGUUUGAUCUCGGAAGCUAAGAUAGGUUGGGCCUGGGUUAGUAGGAUGGGGAGACCGCCUGGGAAUACCAGGUGCUGUAAGCU